UUCUUCUUCUUGUUCUACCUCUACCACUGUUGCAGCAAUGAAGAAGAGGAAGAGAGGAAAUGACUCCCAGUUAAAAAAGGAGGGGCUUAAGAAGAAAAAGGGUUGUCGAAAAUGUAGUAGACAGAAAAUAUUCCAGUUUGGCUCAAUUUCUGGGAGAAGGAUACAUGAGUGGCAAAACCUGGGAUGACACAUGGGAGCCUGCAAACACAUUUGCACAACAACACCACACUGUCACCCCUGAGUCUCCUCCUCCUUCUGGUUCUGGUUCAGCUGAACCUAACUGGUUGGGCUCUACUCACAGCAGGGGAAAAGAGACAAUCGACAGAAAUGACUGACACUGAGCUCAAAUCAAAUACUGUGCUGCAACACGUGUCUUUUGUGUUUAUUGAAGGAAUGUGUUCAUGGA